rnacentral:lncRNA from 1 species
CCGUGCUCAGAACCCUUCCAGAUCUCACCCUAUGGACCUCUUCAUCUGGCUGUUCAUCUGUAUCCUUUAUAAUAAACCAGUCAAUCAGGCAUAGGAGAAACAUUCACAGGGUCCAGCUCCAGCAUCCCAAAGCCAGGCAGUGAGGGUGAGCACGGAACUGAGAAGCAGGAAAUUGAUAACUAGCACAGUUGCCGUGCGGCUGGUGCCUCACACAGGUCUCCUGCUGGCAGCUGAGUAUGGUCUCCAGGGGCAGAAAGACCAGGAACUUUCGAGCCAGAUACGGGCCUGAGAUACGGGUUGCAUAGCACGCAUCCUGCCUAUUAAUAACUGUAAGUCCUUGUGCAAGCCAUGGCCCCUCCCGGAACCUCAACACUCCAGUUGUCUCAUAGGCAAAUUGUCCUGCCUGCCUUGCUGGGUUCCAAGGUGACCCAAAGAAUUUGCGGCUGUGAAACUACUCUGCAAACCCUCAAAUGCCAUCCACUUGGAAAGUGUGCUUGUGGAGGCCACGAAGCUGUUGACAGCUGCUGUUUGGCAUUGGCUGGGAGGAAGGUCAGAGCGUCCAGUGCUCAUGCAUGUGAACUCUGGGACUUCACAUGCUGGGAACAUCAUUGGGAGACACCAGCUGACCCCCCUUGUCCCCAGGGAGCAAAUGUGCCUGGCUCACUGUCCCCGUGGACGUGAGUGAAGCAUUUACACAACACAAGCAAGGCUUCCAGAGCAUCCUAGAGCAAUGUUAACUUUUUUCAGUGCUCCGUGAAUGUCGUCUUUACACCUGUUAUCUCAUUCAUUUAACCUUCCUAGUGACUCUAGGAAACAGGUACUGUUCCGAUUUUUAAGUCGAGGAACAUGAAGCCCAGAGAAGUAUAGAAAUGUGCAAAAGGAUAGAGGUAGUUAGGGCAGAACAACCCACGCCUUCUGACUCUAGGUCUCACACCCUUCCCACCCCUUUAAUUUCCACGAGAAAAAAGAUCUUGACGUUAUUCAGCAAACAGGAAGUCUGUGUCUGGUUUAUUUUGCUAGUCUCCAUGGAACUUAGCCCUAGCUGAGAACAUGAUAGGUAUUC